AUGAACGCUAGCUACAGGCUUAACACAUGCAAGUCGAGGGGCAGCAUGGUCUUAGCUUGCUAAGGCCGAUGGCGACCGGCGCACGGGUGAGUAACGCGUAUCCAACCUGCCUUACACUCUUGGACAGCCUUCUGAAAGGGAGAUUAAUACAAGAUGUUAUCAUGAGUAAGCAUUUUCGCAUGAUUAAAGGUUUACCGGUGUAAGAUGGGGAUGCGUUCCAUUAGAUAGUAGGCGGGGUAACGGCCCACCUAGUCUUCGAUGGAUAGGGGUUCUGAGAGGAAGGUCCCCCACAUUGGAACUGAGACACGGUCCAAACUCCUACGGGAGGCAGCAGUGAGGAAUAUUGGUCAAUGGACGAGAGUCUGAACCAGCCAAGUAGCGUGAAGGAUGAAGGUUCUAUGGAUUGUAAACUUCUUUUAUACGGGAAUAAACGAAUCCACGCGUGGAUUUUUGCAUGUACCGUAUGAAUAAGGAUCGGCUAACUCCGUGCCAGCAGCCGCGGUAAUACGGAGGAUCCGAGCGUUAUCCGGAUUUAUUGGGUUUAAAGGGAGCGUAGAUGGGUUGUUAAGUCAGUUGUGAAAGUUUGCGGCUCAACCGUAAAAUUGCAAUUGAUACUGGCAGUCUUGAGUACAGUUGAGGUAGGCGGAAUUCGUGGUGUAGCGGUGAAAUGCUUAGAUAUCACGAAGAACUCCGAUUGCGAAGGCAGCUUACUAACCUGUAACUGACAUUGAUGCUCGAAAGUGUGGGUAUCAAACAGGAUUAGAUACCCUGGUAGUCCACACAGUAAACGAUGAAUACUCGCUGUUUGCGAUAUACAGCAAGCGGCCAAGCGAAAGCAUUAAGUAUUCCACCUGGGGAGUACGCCGGCAACGGUGAAACUCAAAGGAAUUGACGGGGGCCCGCACAAGCGGAGGAACAUGUGGUUUAAUUCGAUGAUACGCGAGGAACCUUACCCGGGCUUAAAUUGCAACCGAAUAUGGCGGAAACGCUAUAGCUAGCAAUAGCGGUUGUGAAGGUGCUGCAUGGUUGUCGUCAGCUCGUGCCGUGAGGUGUCGGCUUAAGUGCCAUAACGAGCGCAACCCUUGCCGAUAGUUACUAACAGGUUAUGCUGAGGACUCUGUCGGGACUGCCAUCGUAAGAUGUGAGGAAGGUGGGGAUGACGUCAAAUCAGCACGGCCCUUACGUCCGGGGCUACACACGUGUUACAAUGGGGGGUACAGAGGGCUGCUACCACGCAAGUGGAUGCCAAUCCCAAAAACCUCUCUCAGUUCGGAUUGAAGUCUGCAACCCGACUUCAUGAAGCUGGAUUCGCUAGUAAUCGCGCAUCAGCCACGGCGCGGUGAAUACGUUCCCGGGCCUUGUACACACCGCCCGUCAAGCCAUGGGAGCCGGGGGUACCUGAAGUGCGUAACCGCAAGGAGCGCCCUAGGGUAAAACUGGUGACUGGGGCU
rnacentral:rRNA from 1 species